rnacentral:rRNA from 1 species
AAGUCGAACGAGAUUAGAGAGCUUGCUCUCUAUGAAAGUGGCGCACGGGUGCGUAACGCGUAUGCAACCUACCUUAAUCAGGGGGAUAGCCCGAAGAAAUUCGGAUUAAGACCGCAUAAAAACACAGCACAGCAUUGUGCAAUGUUCAAAUAUUUAUAGGAUUAAGAUGGGCAUGCGUGUCAUUAGCUAGUUGGCGGGGUAACGGCCCACCAAGGCGACGAUGACUAGGGGAUCUGAGAGGAUGACCCCCCACACUGGUACUGAGACACGGACCAGACUCCUACGGGAGGCAGCAGUAAGGAAUAUUGGUCAAUGGAGGGAACUCUGAACCAGCCAUGCCGCGUGCAGGAAGACAGCCCUCUGGGUCGUAAACUGCUUUUAUUCGGGAAUAAACCUUAUUACGUGUAAUAAGCUGAAUGUACCGAAGGAAUAAGGAUCGGCUAACUCCGUGCCAGCAGCCGCGGUAAUACGGAGGAUCCAAGCGUUAUCCGGAUUUAUUGGGUUUAAAGGGUGCGUAGGCGGCUUAUUAAGUCAGGGGUGAAAGACGGUGGCUCAACCAUCGCAGUGCCCUUGAUACUGAUGAGCUUGAAUACACUAGAGGUAGGCGGAAUGUGACAAGUAGCGGUGAAAUGCAUAGAUAUGUCACAGAACACCGAUUGCGAAGGCAGCUUACUAUGGUGUGAUUGACGCUGAGGCACGAAAGCGUGGGGAUCAAACAGGAUUAGAUACCCUGGUAGUCCACGCCCUAAACGAUGAAUACUCGCUGUUAGCGAUAUACAG